rnacentral:rRNA from 1 species
GACGAACGCUGGCGGCGUGCUUAACACAUGCAAGUCGAACGGAAAGGCCUCUUUCGGGGGGUACUCGAGUGGCGAACGGGUGAGUAACACGUGAGUAACCUGCCCUUUACUUUUUGAUAACUUCAGGAAACUGGGGCUAAUACCGGAUAGGAGCUCCUGCUGCAUGGUGGGGGGGGGAAAGUUUCGGCGGUUGGGGAUGGACUCGCGGCUUAUCAGCUUGUUGGUGGGGUAGUGGCUUACCAAGGCUUUGUCGGGUAGCCGGCCUGAGAGGGUGACCGGCCACCUUGGGACUGAGAUACGGCCCAGACUCCUACGGGAGGCAGCCGUGGGGAAUAUUGCACAAUGGGUGGGAGCCUGAUGCAGCAACGCCGUGUGCGGGAUGACGGCCUUCGGGUUGUAAACCGCUUUCGCUCAUGACGAAGCUUUGUGUGACGGUAGUGGGUAAAGAAGCACCGGCUAACUACGUG